rnacentral:rRNA from 1 species
GACGAACGCUGGCGGCGUGCCUAAUACAUGCAAGUAGAACGCUGAAGCGAGGAGCUUACUCUUCUUGGAUGAGUUGCGAACGGGUGAGUAACGCGUAGGUAACCUGCCUUGUAGCGGGGGAUAACUAUUGGAAACGAUAGCUAAUACCGCAUAACAAUGGAUGACACAUGUCAUUUAUUUGAAAGGGGCAAUUGCUCCACUACAAGAUGGACCUGCGUUGUAUUAGCUAGUAGGUGAGGUAAUGGCUCACCUAGGCGACGAUACAUAGCCGACCUGAGAGGGUGAACAGCCACACUGGGACUGAGACACGGCCCAGACGCCUUCGGGAAGCAGCAGUAGGGGAACUUCGGCAAUGGGGGCAAACCUGACCGGGCAACGCCGCGGGAGUGAAGAAGGUUUUCGGAUCGGAAAGCUCUGCUGUAAGUCAAGAACGGGUGUGAGAGUGGAAAGUUCACACUGUGACGGUAGCUUACCAGAAAGGGACGGCUAACUACGUG